CCAAGUCCCCAGUACCGGGCAGGACUGACACCAGAGCUGGCUGCCAGCUGAGGCUGAGGUUCUGUGAGAUCCUGUCUCAGAGGAACAAGGCAAAGAGUGACAGAGCGGGAUACUAACAUCUUCUCUUGCGUCCACAAGCACACUGUCAGCAAACCAGAAGAGGAAACGGGAUCUUCAACCUGAUGAGGAGACUCUACAGCUGACAGCUGAUUUAACAGAGAAAGACUCACCAUUUCUGCAUAAAGGCUACAAAGACUCAAGAAUGUUUCACUUCACUGGAGUCCCAGAAAA